AACGUAGGAGACAAACGUUAUCCGGAGUUACUGGGCGUAAAGGGCGUGUAGGUGGUUUCGUAAGUCUGGCGUGAAAUUUCUCGGCUUAACCGAGGCAGGUCGUCGGAUACUGCGGAACUAGAGGACGGUAGAGGCGUGUGGAAUUCCGGGUGUAGUGGUGAAAUGCGUAGAGAUCCGGAGGAACACCAGUGGCGAAGGCGACACGCUGGGCCGUACCUGACACUGAGGCGCGAUAGCAUGGGGAGCAAACAGGG
rnacentral:rRNA from 1 species